CUAUUUAUGGCCGGAUUAGGGUAAGUUUAGUUAGGAUAGGCUAGGUUUGGUUUAGCUAGGUGUGGCGUGAGACCAACAGCAGUGGAUCAUCACGUAGCGAGUGAUCAGAGUGCGUAGGUAUAAAAGCAAUACGUCUUGCUUUCUGGUUGAUUUCGGCGUGUUUUGUAUUAAUCUAGCUGUUAUUCGUUUUCAUCGCAAAUUAGCAGUUCUGGGAAGGGAAGAAGGUUAAAAAGACCGAUCUAAGGAGGAUAGAUUACUAGAUUAAUGUUUUCGUCCCCCCAAACUUGAAACAAGUAAGGAAUAUAGUAUUUACUGAGUGAAGGAAGAAGACAGGAGUAGUGGCAGGCAGGCAUGAUCAAACAUCUCGAAAGUGGCGACUAAGGUGAAGUCGCGCAGAUAUUUCACUCGUGAUCACUGAUGUCACGCUUCCCUACCCCGCGAUGAUCUCUCUCUCUCUCUCUCUCUCUCUGUUGUGUGGCACUGUACUUACUAUAAAGGAAAGACUGAGAGAUAGUUUACAAUUAUUACUGAGAAAGUAUGAAACAAAUCAAUAUAUUCGUUAGGUUAAUAUAAACGAAAGAUAUCAAGGUUGCAUUCGCUUUAGAGAGAUGUAAAUUGAAAGAUCUGCCAAGACAGUGCUUGCUUCCGACAACAAACUGUGAUGUAAUUAUUUCUGGGGAUGCAUCAUGACUACUAUCUAAAUUUGCGGCGAAACUAUCUCCAAGAGGUCGCCCUGUAUGCUUUUGAAGUGAAGGACACCAGCUUCAGAAUUGAUGCCUCGGAGCUCCCCACUGCUAAGACUCUUCCCUAGCCACCCCAAGGACAUUGACCAGUGAGAUUGAACCGCAGAAUCUCCAGCUUUUCUCCUAUAGUGAUCACAGUUGUGGGAGAAAAUAUGCUUCCGGACGCUGAGAGAAUUGAGAGACUUAAGAAUGAGAGCCCUAAGUUGGUGGCCUAGCAUCACUCACCGGCCUGGAAGAAGGGCGUGCCAGACCAGGCACCAAUGAUGUCCACCAGCACGUAGCAGAAGGACAGCAGGAAAAAGGCAAAGCAGGA